ACUCAUCUCUCCAUCACACCUUCUCUAGGCCGGAAAGUCACCGGUACUCUUUUCGGUCACCGGCGUGGACAUGUCAGCUUUGCAGUCCAGGACGAUCCCAGGUUGGAACCGGUGUUGUUACUUGAACUAGCCAUGUCAACGUCCAUGCUAGUAAAGGAAAUGUCGUCAGGUCUGGUUCGGAUCGCCCUGGAGUGCGACAAGGUUCAGGUUCCGGCACAAGGCAGAGGCACCAGGUCAGGGAAGCUGUUUAACGAGCCAAUGUGGACUAUGUAUUGUAACGGGAGGAAGUGUGGAUAUGCAGCGUCGCGCACGUGCACAGACCUUGAUUGGCAUGUGCUAACCACCGUGCAGAGCGUUUCUGUUGGAGCUGGGGUCAUUCCAAUGGUGCAAGAUGGCCGGAAGAGCGGCGCGUCAGACGGCGAGUUGCUGUAUAUGAGAGCAAAGUUUGAGCGAGUUGUAGGUAGCCGUGACUCGGUGGCGUUUUACAUGAUGAACCCAGAUGGAAGUGGAGGGCCUGAACUCGGUAUAUUUCUUCUAAGAACAUGAAAAAGGAGAAAAAAAAAUACAAGGAAAAAAAACUUGUUGGUAUAUAUUUUUUAGGCAAUUAAUGGAAGGUGGAGAUGUUUGUUUAAUUAAUUAGUGAAAUGUAUGAAUUUUUUUUUUUUCCUAAUAUGUGCUUUUGUUAUAUGUUGAU
rnacentral:misc_RNA from 1 species